rnacentral:tRNA from 1 species
GCCUGGAUGGCUUAGUAGGUUAAGUAUCUGACUUCAGCUCAGGUCAUGAUCUCACAGCUUGUGGGUUUAAGCCCCGCAUCGGGCU